UUUGGCCUGGCAUGACAUAUUCAUCAAUUUCCAACUUAUCAUGACACAUGUUUUAUCUAGUAGUGUAUUUCAAAGAGAUGUUGGUUUUAGAAAUUUGACUAUUACAGAAGAACUCUCUGAAAGAAAGUGUUAUGGGUGAGCUUCAUGUUCUGUGAGUACUCAAAGAUUCAUAUAACAAAAGAAGAAAAUAAAAAUGAGUGUUUUAACAAGUACAUAAAUUAGACAUUUGUUUGAGUCGCAGAAUAUGAGAGUUGCAAACAACCUCAGAGGCUAUCUAGCCAACCUGUGCCUUUACAGAGAUCUAUCUACCAUCAUUCCUGACAAGGAGUAACCAAGUGUCCUCUUGAAGACCUUUCGUGAUGUGGGAGCUCACUACCUUUUUCAGGACUUUGCCACUGUGUUUUAGCUGCCCUCUAGUCCUGAGACAUUCUUCCAUCCAUGUCAUCUCCUUCUCUCAUUGGUCCAGAACUUGCAGAGUUCAGAUCAAGGGUGCAGUAACCAAACACUGAAAGCUUAAAGAUCCUGAGCUACCCCCAAGAUCCUGGAACAACAUAGCAAGAGCAGUAGCAAGACCAGCCCAGACCUUUCCCAGAAGUGCACAGAACUCAUGUAUUAAGUCUGAAGUCAGGAAAUAAAUGGAAAGAAUGAGCAAACAAAUCCCAUCAUAAAAGCUAUUUUGGUGAUAGGAAUGCUCAAGCCAAAAACUCAGAAGAAUGGCUUUGAAACAUCUACAAGCAAAGCCUGAGAGAAAAACACUGCUUGAGCACAAAUCACCUAGAAUUCUUGGAAGAGAUGAAGCAAGAGUUAAUUUUUUUAAAUAAAAAAAAAACAAGAGCA